GGCGAUGAUACAUACAAGUUUCUGCCCUAUCAACUUUCGAUGGUAGGAUAUUGGCCUACCAUGGUUGUAACGGGUAACAGGGAAUUAGGGUUCGAUUCUGGAGAGGGGGCCUGAGAAAUGGCCACCACUUCCAAGGAAGGCAGCAGGUACGCAACUUACCCAAUCCCGACACGGGGAGGUAGUGACAAGAAAUACCAGGAUAGGGCCCAAAACGGGUACUACUCUCUGGAAUGAGUACAAUUUAAAAACCUUAACGAGGAGCAAUUGGAGGGCAAGUCUGGUGCCAGCAGCCGCGGUAAUUCCAGCUCCAAUAGCGUAUAUUAAUACUGUUGCAGUUAAAACGCUCGUAGUUGGAUUUCGGAGCGUAUGGUUUCUGUGGCCCGACGUAAUGUUGCGGCCCGGUGCCUACCUCCUAGUUUUCGAAUGCACGCCCCCAUCCUUAACUGUGUGGGGAGUCGGGCUUCGGAUCGUUUACUUUAAAAAAAUUAGAGUGUUCAAGGCAGGCGUAACUCUAGCCUUUUGAAUACAUUAGCAUGGGAUAAUGGAACAGGAAGUGUAGCCUGUUUCGUUGGUUUCUGGGCUAUACUUAAUGAUUAAAAGGGAUAGUUGGGGGUAUUGGUAUUUAGUUGUCAGAGGUGAAAUUCUAAGAUUAUCUAAAGACCAACUACUGCGAAAGCAUUUACCAAGGAUGUUUUCAUUAAUCAAGAACGAAAGUUGGGGGAUCGAAGAUGAUCAGAUACCGUCGUAGUCCUAACCUUAAACUAUGCCGACCAGGGAUUCGGGGAUGUUGUAUGAAUGGCUCUCCGGGCACCUUGUGAGAAAUCAUAAGUAUCUGGGUUCCGGGGGGAGUAUGGUCGCAAGGCUGAAACUUAAAGGAAUUGACGGAAGGGCACCACCAGGAGUGGAACCUGCGGCUUAAUUUGACACAACACGGGAAAACUUACCAGGUCCAGACACAGGAAGGAUUGACAGAUUGAUAGCUCUUUCAUGAUUCUGUGGGUGGUGGUGCAUGGCCGUUUCCAGUUGGUGGAGUGAUUUGUCAGGUUAAUUCCGUUAACGAACGAGACCUCAGCCUAUUAAAUAGUCCUGCGAAUGGGAGCCCCCAUUUAACAGGGGGAUAAGGGGGCGGAGCCCUUCGGGGUUUCUUAGCCCCCCCUCUUUUGGGUGUGCUCAUUCCACCAUUCGCAGAGAUCUUCUUAGAGGGACUAUUCGAACUCGAGCGAAUGGAAGUUUGAGGCCAAAACAGGUCUGUGAUGCCCUGAGAUGUCCUGGGCUGCACGCGCGUUACACUGAUGCAUUCAACGAGCUUUUUUCCUUGCCCGAAAGGGCUGGGUAAUCUUUUCAAAGUGCAUCGUGAUGGGAAUAGAGCAUUGCAAUUAUUGCUCUUGAACGAGGAAUUCCUAGUAAGUGCAAGUCAUCAACUUGCGCUGAUUACGUCCCUGCCCUUUGUACACACCGCCCGUCGCUCCUACCGAUUGAAUGGUCCGGCAAGGACUCCGGAUGGCCGGGUUGCGCGGUGCCCCGUAAAGGGGUUUUACUGUGCCCUGUUGUCAGAAGCUGUUCAAGCCUUACCAUUUAGAGGAAGGAGAAGUCGUAACAAGGUU
rnacentral:rRNA from 1 species